GAUGAAGAACGUAGCGAAAUGCGAUAAGUAAUGCGAAUUGCAGAAUUUCCGUGAGUCAUCGAAUCUUUGAACGCACAUUGCGCCCGCCAGCACUCUGGCGGGCAUGCCUGUCCGAGCGUCAUUUCAACCAUCAGGACCCCCCCGGGGGACCUGGCGUUGGGGAUCAGCGGCCCCCCCGUGGUCGCUGCCCCCGAAACCCAGUGGCUGCCCAUCGCGGGUGACCCUGCGCAGUAGCGAUACCUCGCAGCGGCUCCAGCGGUCCGGCCUCGCCGUAAAACCCCCCACACCUCAAGGUUGACCUCGGAUCAGGUAGGAAUACCCGCUGAACUUAAGCAUAUCAAUAAGCGGAGGA
rnacentral:misc_RNA from 1 species